rnacentral:sRNA from 10 species
AGCUGGCACAGGCUGUAAUAUCGUGUGCCCUAGACCUGGUAGCAAUACACAGGGACGGAAGCCUUCUCGCUACAAGAAGCACUCAAUCACUACCCGCAAGGAUGCAGAUAGCAAACGCCGCUAUUUGAUUGUUU